rnacentral:lncRNA from 1 species
AUAAUGGAGUUUGAUUGCAGAAGACUACCUUAGUCUCACUGGGGCUGUUCCAGGAAAGCUCUGAAUUUUCCCACAUAGUCACACUCAAGAUCCAGUAGACACAGGUUAACUCUAAAAUCCUAGAAAUUGAAAGAUUCACCAACAAAUUAAGUAUAAGUAAAUAGUUUUCAAAUGGAACAUGUAUGCUCCGUGGAUACCCCUUCUUAUGCGCUGUAUUUAGAAAAAAUACUCGACAAAAUCAAGAAAAAUAAUGGCAGAAAUAGGACCUUGGCGUGUUUGGAUUGAUUUUCCUCCAGUUUCAAAGGAUUUUUCUUAGAUUCAAUCCUCGUUUUUGCCAACUUCUAAGAAAAUUCGUAAUUCUUCAGGAAAAAGGAUCUGAGUCCACAAGAAAGUGUUCUACGAAAAGUUUAAGGGAAAAAAUGUCAUAUCAAGCUAGAGUUACGAUGGCCCAAAGUAUGCAGUUCGAAGAAAAGACUUCAAAAAAAAGCUACUUGAAAUUCUAAUUUGCCAUUUUCAGAACACAAAAUUGUUGUGGACCUUCAAGCCCUCUAUCCGCUCAAAAAUGAAUUGAGCCUUCAAUCAGUGAAUUGCAGCUUAUUGGUUAAACGGUGUAUAGUGUACAGGAAAAGAAAUGCUGCGCACUGAUGGAACAGUAAAGUAAGUGACAACGUCUACUUUGAUAGAGAUUGUUUAUCCGAAGUCAGUUCUUGAUUUACUGCGCUCAACAAUCACCUCAAUCAAUGCAAUGUCUAGUUUUCGUCUUCAAACAUCAUUUUAGUAUCAGCUGAUCGGUAAUGUGAGCAGUGUCACUGUCAUUAUUAGGUUCUCACCCAUGUAUUCCAUAGACAAAGGCUGUAAAUUUUGAAAUAUUUCGGGAACUUGGGGGGGGGGCUAUUAUAUGAUUUACAUUGUAUUAGUUAUUAAUAUCUGCUUCUCUUCUGUGGCCAUAAUGUUGUCAUGGCAGUCAUUGAACUAUAAUACUUCAAUAUCGUAUCAUUCUUUUUCGUAAGUUGUAUUGCGUCUCAGGCUGAAGGAGAAAUCCAGUCUUACAAUUUUUUGAUUUGGAAUUUUCCCCCUGAGUGGUGCAUCAUUUGAAUGUAAAUAGGACAUAAGUGUAAACCACAGGUUACCAUCUAAUACUUUUUAAAAUGGUUGUACUUACUUAGGGAAAUUUCCAAAUAGGUAUAAAAUAUGAAUUUUAACAGACAAUUUUGAUCACCCACUUUCAAUUUAUCUGGAUCUGAACUUUCACGAAAACUGAAUCGGCUUAUAUGUAUCAAUAGGAACAGAGACAGAUCGAAAACGUACCUAGAUCUACAGCUUAUAAGGACGGAUUUUCAAGGUGUGGAUUGGACGAAAAAGUAGACGGUAAAAUAAGGAAGGCAGAGGGAGGGAGAAUUCAGUUAUUCAAACUCGGUUACUUCGUAGUCACCUUUAGUUGAGGGCUACUUUAAUGCAGCUCUCUACAACUUAAACAUGGUCUACAUAAAUCUGCUGCUUGAAAAAAAAAAAAAAAAAAAAAUCAUUGUAGGAAAGUUUCUUCACAAAGUCUUGCCUUGUUUUUAGUCGUGCGGCGAAGCCGUAUUGACUCGAGUUUUCGCCGAAGGCUAAAAAUUGUCCACACUUUUUUAUGUUCACCAGAAAAUAAUAUGUAACAAGUUGUAACGGGCAGGCCGAAAUCUGGCAGAGUUCGUAUCACGGUAUUCGGCCUCUGGGUUUCGACCUAAGCAGGAGACAAUGGCCGAUCACCUAUAAACAUCAGCUUACAAUUAGUGAACCUAGCGACUUGGCACCAAUGCUGGGUUCACUGAGCUGGUUCACGGCCACCUGCUUGCCCGUGGUUUAGCGGUGGGACUGAUGUUAUUUUGCCUUGCAUUAACUUAAAAGCAUUCACUUAUAUUGAUCAUUAAAUCGGAAAGACGGACAGAUUAAUUAGAGUCUUUUUUUAUUUGGUUACUUUACGCAUUUCUGUAACAACUUAAAUUUACACCAACUCGAUUCCGCACUUUAACUUAUGCUAAUGAUUAAUUAUUUUGGCGGCAUAUUUACAAUUCAUUUAUUUUUCAUAUCAUUACUAUAAAUCCUCACUAUUAACAUCGAACAUUAUUGUUAACAUUGCUGUAUUCUAAAAUAACACUUGUCUGCAAAUUAAAUGGUUAAUUUGGCUUCGGUUUCAAUUCUGGACGGUAAAUCCGGUUGUUCUUGAUUUCUAAAUUUUCUGAUUAAAGGUAACACAUUUACUAUUAAUCGUCGCCAUUAAGCCUACCUAUUAACAUCUAACAUUACCUAUUGUUAACAUUGCUAUAUUCUAAAAUUCUUGGCAUGAAAUCUUGCUACAUUUACAUUACAUUCACAUUUACAUACCGGAGUCCGAUGAUUUUUCAGCCCCCCUCCUUUGCCGGACCCGACCACGGUUCGUUAGAGUAAAAGCCAAAUGAAAUUCUCCAUCACUCACAAAGUCCUUUCGAAUCCGAAAAAUAGAGUGAAA